AGCAGCCGCGGUAAUUCCAGCUCCAAUAGCGUAUAUUAAAGUUGUUGCAGUUAAAAAGCUCGUAGUUGAAUUUCGGGAUCAAUUUGCUGGUCGUGCCUUUGGUACGCACUGGUAUUAUUGGUUUCUCCUUUCUGAUGAAUCGCGAUGUCAUUAAUUUGGUGUCGUGGGGAAUCAGGACCGUUACUUUGAAAAAAUUAGAGUGUUUAAAGCAGGCUCACGCUUGAAUACAUUAGCAUGGAAUAAUGAAAUAGGACGUUUGAUUCUAUUUUGUUGGUUUCUAGGAUCGACGUAAUGAUUAAUAGGGAUAGUUGGGGGCAUUAGUAUUCAAUUGUCAGAGGUGAAAUUCUUGGAUUUAUUGAAGACUAACUACUGCGAAAGCAUUUGCCAAGGAUGUUUUCAUUAAUCAAGAACGAAAGUUAGGGGAUCGAAGGCGAUCAGAUACCGUCGUAGUCUUAACCAUAAACUAUGCCGACUAGGGAUCGGAUGAUGUUAAUUUUUAAUGA
rnacentral:rRNA from 1 species